rnacentral:rRNA from 1 species
UGAGGAAUAUUGGUCAAUGGACGAGAGUCUGAACCAGCCAAGUAGCGUGAAGGAUGACUGCCCUAUGGGUUGUAAACUUCUUUUAUAUGGGAAUAAAGUGAGCCACGUGUGGCUUUUUGUAUGUACCAUACGAAUAAGGAUCGGCUAACUCCGUGCCAGCAGCCGCGGUAAUACGGAGGAUCCAAGCGUUAUCCGGAUUUAUUGGGUUUAAAGGGAGCGUAGGCGGACUAUUAAGUCAGCUGUGAAAGUUUGCGGCUCAACCGUAAAAUUGCAGUUGAUACUGGUCGUCUUGAGUGCAGUAGAGGUAGGCGGAAUUCGUGGUGUAGCGGUGAAAUGCUUAGAUAUCACGAAGAACUCCGAUUGCGAAGGCAGCUUACUGGACUGUAACUGACGCUGAUGCUCGAAAGUGUGGGUAUCAAACAGG